UUUAAAUAGCUGCAGUAUUUUAACUGUACAAAGGUAGCGUAAUAAUUAGUCUUUUAAUUGAGGUCUUGUAUGAAUGGUUUAACAAGAAAAAUACUUUAUUAAAUUAACUUAAUGAAUUUUAUUUUUUAGUUAAAAAGCUGAAAUAUUUAAGUGGGACGAUAAGACCCUAUAGAUCUUUAAAUUUAUAAAUUAUAAAAUUAUUUUAGCCAAUUUUAUUUUUAAAAAUAAAAAUUUUUUAUUGGGGUGAUAUACAAAAUUUUAAAACUUUGUAAUUUUUUUACAUUAAUAAAUGGUUAAAUUGAACCUUAAAUUAGGUUAAUUAAAAUAAGAUACCUUAGGGAUAACAGCACAAUAAAUUUGUAUAGUUCACAUAGAUAAAUUUGUUUGUGACCUCGAUGUUGAAUUAAUUUAAAAUUUUGGAGCAGAAAUUAAAACUUUAGGUCUGUUCGACCUUUAAAAUGUUACG
rnacentral:rRNA from 1 species